rnacentral:rRNA from 1 species
UUGAAGGCUGAAAUUCGCCUUCAUGAAGCCGGAAUUGCUAGUAAUCGUAGGUCAGCAUACUACGGUGAAUACGUUCCCGGGCCUUGUACACACCGCCCGUCAAACCAUGAGAGUUGCAACACCCGAAGUCGGUAGUCUAACCGCAAGGAGGACGCCGCCGAAGGUGGGGUCGAUGAUUAGGGUUAAGUCGUAACAAGGUAAC